UCAGUUUUUAUCUUGCAGUUGCUUAAAUUUCGCCGCUGCUUCUUCAUGUUGCAGUCUACAGAAAUUCUUGAUUUAUUCCACUUGUACUGGCAUGAGCGAUAGUUAUUAGAGCAGAAAGAAGUGACUGCUUGGCUGAUUGUGUGGCUGCGUGAGGCAUGCACCAUUAUGCGCAAUGCAAAUGUUACUAAAAACACGUAAAAGUGUAAUUAAUAAAAUGACCGAAUUUGUACUGACGUCUGGUCGAUUGCAAAAAUUGUUGGUAAGAGCAUUUAAAUUUGUAUGUAAGUAUGUAUUAUUUUUAAAGUGGAAAAUUUUGCUGUUGCCUUGUAAGAUUGAUUUGCAAAUAUAGAUUGAGCUAUUUGUUUACAAAAAAGUGAAUGCACCAUUUGUUUAUGUCGAUAGAUAUAUCUUUGCAAUCGCUUGUGUAAUAUAAGGAGCAGUGACCUCAAAAGCUCAAAUUUUCACCUAGACAACAGUUGAAUGAGCAAUGGUAAUGAAAGGUGAUUAAACUCGUCAAUAUAAUAUGUAUGCCCAUAAAGUUAUUAUUAAGUAGAAAUUAGAAGGACUAAGUAGGCGGGUUAAAUAUUUUUACAGCGUCAUCUAGCAAGUUUUUCAUCUUUAACCCUUUGACCGACGAAAAAGUUUAAUAUAUUUUCUGCAAUAAAA